GGCCUUUUGAUGAUGGCAACACAAGUACUGACAACCCAAGUGGAUGGGAAUUGCCCCGUUCUUCCAGGUCAUCGUAGGCAGAAUGGUGUUCUUCUAUGGGUUCA
rnacentral:lncRNA from 1 species